ensembl:processed_transcript 5930403N24Rik RIKEN cDNA 5930403N24 gene
CUGUAGGCCAGAUGUGGGAAACGCAAAAACAGCAAACAGCCUAAGCCAUGCUCGUUCCUUUCUCUCCUAGAGGCGUGAAAUAAAAUAUUUUGAAAUUGGUCCUUGGAGCACCUCAAAUCGCGUCUCUCCAACUAUUCCAAUUACCGAUCACUUUUCCACAAAACAUUGUGAGGACCAUUUUCAGAAGAUCGAAACUUGCUAGCAUGUUAUCACUGUAAGAAACGACAUCAUUAAUUUUCCUCUGUGGUAAAACUAGACCGAGCCUUGAGUGUACGAAUCCAUAUUUACAGUUGGGAGGCAGCUACUCUCGUCGACACGGGUUGUUUUCCUAGCCUGCUGCCAACAUCGGAGGGACUCUCAUUUUGAACUUGUCUGUGCACAGCAUCAAGUGUGCUCCUGGAAGAGAGGCAACAGCGAGGAAAUCCUAAAAGACCGAGUCCUAGUCUCAGAAGAAAUCGCCUGCAAGGUUGAGAGACAGAAAGAAAAUCCCUGGAGACUCCACGUCUAACCCAGGCUAAAGGCAAAGCUCUACAGCGGUGUGUAGGAUAUCUCUCUCGUUCGCUACAGCCCUUGCCACCGAAGUACCAGACGCUUUUAGUGUGUGAAAGACCAGGCGUUGAUUUAAUGUAUCUGGAAGGGAGAGGGGAUAGAGGAUGCAACUUAAUAAAUAUUCCUCUAGUCUCGCUCAUGAAAACAUCCAAAACAUCUUUCGGCGUUUGCAUUUAAUGACUGCAACGUGAACGAUGGAGGCGAGAAGCAGUCGAGGGAAUGGCUCGUUUCUCUUAGUGUUGGCUCGGAAUUGUCAAACAGUUACUUUCUGUUCAUUGUAGGGAAAUAGGUCACACUUUGAGUGAAAAGGACAGUUGGUUCAAGCCAAUAACCCUUUGUUCAAGUGCUGUUUGACAGUCCCUGAGCAGAACAUCGUUGCGUGAAGUUUCAUCUCCUGUCCAGUACCUUUAGAUACAUUAUUAAAUCCCAAAGUCAUAUUCCACGGAGCGCCUGGAAGGAAUAUUUCGUCGAAACGCGUCUUGCCAACCAACGUGUUAGCACCCGUAAGGAAGCCUGCUGGACUGGCCCGAGAACCCGGCCGCCAGGAUGGACACGAAUCCCUCAUUAGCAGUUCCAACUUGAAAAGUCAACUGGGCUGGUCCAACACCACCAUCCAGGAGAUUCCCAAAGGCUCAAAAGGCAAUCUGUGCACCCACCCCACGGGAACCUUGCCCCUUCCUCUGCGUCUCCCUCCGGUUUUAAAUUGGGAUGAUUGCUAGUUCGCUUUCGGAUUUUUUCUCCCAGACAUUCGGGGGCUGCUUUUGUGGCUCCUUUGUUAACAGGCUGUCGUGCAGCUUUCCCCCCUUUUCUUUCUCCAAUGCCUAUUUGCCUGGUAUCGGCUCGUCUCCGGGGCAACCGCGGGGAAGAUUCGGAGCCCCAGGCGCCGGGAGGGGGAAGGGGCGGAGCCCGGCGGAGUGGGGGCGGGGAGGGGCGCGAGAGGAGGGGCGGAGGGAGUGGGUCAGGAGGAGACCCCAGGACCCACGAGGAGCAGAUGGCCGCUCCGGGGCGGAGCCCGUGAGCGUCAGGGGAGCGGGAGAGCCAAUCCGUCCCUGCAGCAGCGCGGGAGAGAGCCAACGAGAGUAAACACGCGGGCUGUCCCCCCCCCCCGCGGUCCCUACUUUGCAGCUGAAGACGUGAUUUCCUUUGGAUAAGAAAGCUCAUUGCCAGUGUGGUUGGAAAGCUGGCGGUCCCCGGGAGAAUGGGUUGGGAGGCGGGUUUGGGCGGAGCUCUGAAAUCUCCCUCUCCCUUUCCUCCCCUCCCACCCCGACUCAGGCACCCACUAAGCCUGGCGAGAAUGGAAGAGGCGGGUGGAUGGGAGAGCGGGGCGGGGCUGGGAAAAGGGAAGAGAUUGACUCUUGCUAUGAACCUUAAGGAAUGCCAGCAAGCUAUUGGAGCUGCUGGUCUUUACCUGCUGCAGUUCCCCUACAGUUUGGUGGUCUCCCCGUAGAGUUAAGGGUUUGGGGGGGGGAGGCGGGGAAACACCCGCCAAAUGCAUUUAUAUAAGUGAGAUUAAAGAACCCAUAAGGACAUUAAAAAUUGGAAGCAGGCGCCUAUAGCCAACUC